GAUGAACGCUGGCGGCGUGCCUAAUACAUGCAAGUCGAGCGAACGGACGAGAAGCUUGCUUCUCUGAUGUUAGCGGCGGACGGGUGAGUAACACGUGGAUAACCUACCUAUAAGACUGGGAUAACUUCGGGAAACCGGAGCUAAUACCGGAUAAUAUUUUGAACCGCAUGGUUCAAAAGUGAAAGACGGUCUUGCUGUCACUUAUAGAUGGAUCCGCGCUGCAUUAGCCAGUUGGUAAGGUAACGGCUUACCAAGGCAACGAUGCAUAGCCGACCUGAGGGGGUGAUCGGCCACACUGGAACUGGGACACGGUCCAGACUCCUACGGGAGGCAGCAGUAGGGAAUCUUCCGCAAUGGGCGAAAGCCUGACGGAGCAACGCCGCGUGAGUGAUGAAGGUCUUCGGAUCGUAAAACUCUGUUAUUAGGGAAGAACAUAUGUGUAAGUAACUGUGCACAUCUUGACGGUACCUAAUCAGAAAGCCACGGCUAACUACGUG
rnacentral:rRNA from 1 species